rnacentral:rRNA from 1 species
AUUGAACGCUGGCAGCAGGCUUAACACAUGCAAGUCGAACGAGGGGCGGACGGGUGAGUAAUGUGUGGGAAUCUAGCUUAUGGGGGGGGAAAACUACGGGAAAGUGUAUCAAAUCCCGCGACCCAAAGGAUGAGCCCAAGUGGGUUUGGGUGGUUGGUGGGGUAAAGGCCCACCAAGCAGACGAUCUCUAUCUGGUCUGAGAGGAUGCCCAGCCACACUGGGACUGAGACACGGCCCAGACUCCUACGGGAGGCAGCAGUGGGGAAGAUUGCACAAUGGGCGCAAGCCUGAUGCAGCCAUGCCGCGUGUAUGAAGAAGGCCUUCGGGUUGUAAAGUACUUUCAGCGAGGAGGCGUUACUCGCAGAAGAAGCACCGGCUAACUCCGUGCCAGCAGCCGCGGUAAUUC